rnacentral:rRNA from 1 species
CCUACGGGUGGCAGCAGUGAGGAAUAUUGGUCAAUGGACGAGAGUCUGAACCAGCCAAGUAGCGUGAAGGAUGACUGCCCUAUGGGUUGUAAACCUCUUUUAUAAAGGAAUAAAACGAGGCACGUGUGCCUUUUUGCAUGUACUUUAUGAAUAAGGAUCGGCUAACUCCGUGCCAGCAGCCGCGGUAAUACGUAGGGUGCGAGCGUUAUCCGGAUUUAUUGGGUGUAAAGGGAGCGGAGACGGCGAUGCAAGUCUGGAGUGAAAGGCGGGGGCCCAAACCCCGGACUGCAUUGGAAACUGUAUGGCUGGAGUGCGGGAGAGGUAAGUGGAAUUCGUGGUGUAGCGGUGAAAUGCGUAGAUAUUAGGAGGAACUCCAGUGGCGAAGGCGGCUUACUGGACUGUAACUGACGUUGAGGCUCGAAAGCGUGGGUAGCGAACAGGAUUAGAUACCCUAGUAGUC